CCGAGUUUACAACUCCCAAACCCAAUGUGAACGUUACCAAACUGUUGCCUCGGCGGGAUCUCUGCCCCGGGUUGCGUCGCAGCCCCCGGACCAAGGCGCCCGCCGGAGGACCAACCAAAACUCUUAUUGUAUACCCCCCUCGCGGGUUUUUUUUUUUAUAAUCUGAGCCUUCUCGGCGCCCUCUCGUAGGCGUUUUCGAAAAUGAAUCA
rnacentral:misc_RNA from 1 species